rnacentral:tmRNA from 1 species
GGGGCUGACUUGGUUUCGACGGGACUUAGUAGCUUUUGAUUGCAUGUCGGACUGAGCACUUCCGUUACACGGCUCAACAUUGUUAAACGCAAACAAUACAAAUUACCGCCCAGCUUUAGCAGUAGCUUAAGUUUUUAACCCCUCGCAAGAGGCGGGCUGCUUCACCUGUUGACUCUAGAUAGGCAGGAUUCGAAGUAUAACCCUAAUGUAGAUAUAUUUUGAGUGUGUCUCCACUUAAAAUGAACGCUAGAGACUCGCUUAGUGUAGUUUUGCAAGUUGUGUGAAGCUAAGUUAAACUAAACAACUUUUCUAAGCAUGUAGAGGUUAAAAGUAGCUGUUUUUCGGACUGGAGUUCGAUUCUCCACAGCUCCACCA